rnacentral:rRNA from 1 species
CGUACUUGUACUGAUUGAGAUUUUAACACGAAGUGAGUGGCGAACGGGUGAGUAACACGUGGGUAACCUGCCCAGAAGUAGGGGAUAACACCUGGAAACAGAUGCUAAUACCGUAUAACAGAGAAAACCGCAUGGUUUUCUUUUAAAAGAUGGCUCUGCUAUCACUUCUGGAUGGACCCGCGGCGUAUUAGCUAGUUGGUGAGGUAAAGGCUCACCAAGGCAGUGAUACGUAGCCGACCUGAGAGGGUAAUCGGCCACAUUGGGACUGAGACACGGCCCAGACUCCUACGGGAGGCAGCAGUAGGGAAUCUUCCACAAUGGACGCAAGUCUGAUGGAGCAACGCCGCGUGAGUGAAGAAGGGUUUCGGCUCGUAAAGCUCUGUUGUUAAAGAAGAACGUGGGUAAGAGUAACUGUUUACCCAGUGACGGUAUUUAACCAGAAAGCCACGGCUAACUACGUGCCAGCAGCCGCGGUAAUACGUAGGUGGCAAGCGUUAUCCGGAUUUAUUGGGCGUAAAGCGAGCGCAGGCGGUCUUUUAAGUCUAAUGUGAAAGCCUUCGGCUCAACCGAAGAAGUGCAUUGGAAACUGGGAGACUUGAGUGCAGAAGAGGACAGUGGAACUCCAUGUGUAGCGGUGAAAUGCGUAGAUAUAUGGAAGAACACCAGUGGCGAAGGCGGCUGUCUGGUCUGCAACUGACGCUGAGGCUCGAAAGCAUGGGUAGCGAACAGGAUUAGAUACCCUGGUAGUCCAUGCCGUAAACGAUGAUUACUAAGUGUUUGGAGGGUUUCCGCCCUUCAGUGCUGCAGCUAACGCAUUAAGUAAUCCGCCUGGGGAGUACGACCGCAAGGUUGAAACUCAAAAGAAUUGACGGGGGCCCGCACAAGCGGUGGAGCAUGUGGUUUAAUUCGAAGCUACGCGAAGAACCUUACCAGGUCUUGACAUCUUCUGACAGUCUAAGAGAUUAGAGGUUCCCUUCGGGGACAGAAUGACAGGUGGUUGCAUGGUUGUCCUCAGCUCCUGUCCUGGAAAUUUUGGGUUAAGUCCCGCAACCAACGCAACCCUUAUUACUAGUUGCCAGCAUUAAUUUGGGCAC